rnacentral:rRNA from 1 species
AUCAAUAAGCGGAGGAAAAGAAACUAACAAGGAUUCCCCUAGUAACUGCGAGUGAAGAGGGAAGAGCUCAAAUUUGUAAUCUGGCAGUCACAUGGCUGUCCGAGUUGUAAGUUAGAGAAGUGUCAUCCGUGCUGGCCUGCACAAAAGUCCCUUGGAAAAGGGCAUCAUAGAGGGUGACAAUCCCGUCUUUGGUGCAGACCACCAGUGCAUUUGUGAUGUGCUCUCAAUGAGUCGAGUUGUUUGGGAAUGCAGCUCCAAAUGGGUGGUAAAUUCCAUCUAAAGCUAAAUAUGGGCGAGAAACCGAUAGCGCACAAGUACCGUGAGGGAAAGAUGAAAAGGACUUUGAAAAGAGAGUUAAACAGUACGUGAAAUUGUUGAAAGGGAAACGCUUGAAGUCAGUCAUAUCCUUCAGAAAUCAACCCACCCAUUGGGUCAGGUGCAUUUUCUGUUGGAUGGGUCAGCAUCAAUUUUGACCAUUGGAUAAAGGGCUUGGGAAUGUGGCAUCUUCGGAUGUGUUAUAGACCAUGUCUGCAUACAAUGGUUGGGAUUGAGGAACUCAGUGUGACCUUUAGGUUUGGGGGUUUAACCCCACACUACACACUUAGGAUGCUGGCAUAAUGGCUUUAAUCGACCCGUCUUGAAACACGGACCAAGGAGUCUAACAUGCAUGCAAGUGUUUGGGUGGAAAACCCAAGCGCGUAAUGAAAGUGAAAGUUGAGAACCCUGUUAUGGGGUGCAUCGACGCCCGGCCCUGACCUUCUGUGACGGACCUGCGGUAGAGCAUGUAUGUUGGGACCCGAAAGAUGGUGAACUAUGCCUGAAUAGGGUGAAGCCAGAGGAAACUCUGGUGGAAGCUCGUAGCGAUUCUGACGUGCAAAUCGAUCGUCGAAUUUGGGUAUAGGGGCGAAAG